UACGUAGGGUGCAAGCGUUGAUCGGCAUUACUGGGCGUAAAGCGCACGUAGGCGGCUUUGUAAGUUAGAGGUGAAAGCCUGGGGCUCAACUCCGGAAUUGCCUUUAAGACUGCAUCGCUAGAAUUGUGGAGAGGUAAGUGGAAUUCCGAGUGUAGAGGUGAAAUUCGUAGAUAUUCGGAAGAACACCAGUGGCGAAGGCGACUUACUGGACACAUAUUGACGCUGAGGUGCGAAAGCGUGGGGAGCAAACAGG
rnacentral:rRNA from 1 species